UCUUGAAAAAAUUCUAAAGAAGAUGGCGGAAGCUGGGUUUGAACUUGAUCAAUCCCCAGCUGAAAUGGUUCGUUUUGAUAGACAAAUUAGUUUUGAAAUUGCUGAUUCCAUUUCUGCCUUACGACCACUAUGCCUCUGCUGAUAGAAGAUGUUUGCGCAAUGAAAGAUGCUGAACAAAAAUCUGGUGAAAGGGGGCUAGAACUCCUCGUAGGGAGAUCUUACCCGCUGGUCAGAAAAUUGGGAUCCCUUCCACAUUGUUAUUGGAAUUGAUGGAGGAAGAAGUGGAAUUCUCUAGGAAUAAGUUUGCUGGGAGUCAAGCUGACCGGGCUGUGAAGGAAGAAGCUUACUGAAAAGCUGAAGAACACAAAAAUUAUAGGUGAUGGUUAUUUCUUUGCUUUAUGUACGUUUCGUUUUCUAUUUGUAUCGACUGACUUUGCAGAUAAAAGUGGGAAGAAAGAACGAGCAGCUAAAUCUGCAGGUGAAACCAAAACUAAAGGAGCUGCUGCUGUGGAAAAGGAAGUAACAAUCGACAGACUUGAUAUCCGUGUUGGGGUUAUCAAGGAAGUUCAGAAACAUCAUGAUGCUGAUUCUUUGUAUCUGGAAAAAAAUGAUGUCGGUGAAGAACCUAUAGGACUGUCGUUAGUGGUCUUCUCAAAUAUAUUCCUCUUGAAGAGAUGCAGAACCGCAAGGUUUGUGUUCUCUGCAACCUAAAGCCAGCAACCAUGAGGGGAAUUAAAUCACAAGCUAUGGUUCUUUGUGCUUCCACUAGUGAUAACGUUGAAUUUGUGGGUUUGACGGUGAGCCGGAUGAUGUUCUAAACCCUAAGAAGAAGACGCUGCAAGUGGAUCUACUACAUUCAGACAAGAAUCUUGUAGCCUGCUAUAAAGAUCUGCCAUUCACAACUUCUG